UUCCGUAGGUGAACCUGCGGAGGGAUCAUUACACAAAUAUGAAGGCGGGCUGGAACCUCUCGGGGUUACAGCCUUGCUGAAUUAUUCACCCUUGUCUUUUGCGUACUUCUUGUUUCCUUGGUGGGUUCGCCCACCACUAGGACAAACAUAAACCUUUUGUAAUUGCAAUCAGCGUCAGUAACAAAUUAAUAAUUACAACUUUCAACAACGGAUCUCUUGGUUCUGGCAUCGAUGAAGAACGCAGCGAAAUGCGAUAAGUAGUGUGAAUUGCAGAAUUCAGUGAAUCAUCGAAUCUUUGAACGCACAUUGCGCCCUUUGGUAUUCCAAAGGGCAUGCCUGUUCGAGCGUCAUUUGUACCCUCAAGCUUUGCUUGGUGUUGGGCGUCUUGUCUCUAGCUUUGCUGGAGACUCGCCUUAAAGUAAUUGGCAGCCGGCCUACUGGUUUCGGAGCGCAGCACAAGUCGCACUCUCUAUCAGCAAAGGUCUAGCAUCCAUUAAGCCUUUUUUUCAACUUUUGACCUCGGAUCAGGUAGGGAUACCCGCUGAACUUAAGCAUAUCAAUAAGCGGAAGAA
rnacentral:rRNA from 1 species